rnacentral:rRNA from 1 species
AGAGCGAACGCUGGCGGCAUGCUUAACACAUGCAAGUCGCACGGUCAGGUUUCGGCCUGGUAGUGGCGGACGGGUGAGUAACGCGUAGGUAUCUAUCCGAAGGUGGGGGAUAACGGCGGGAAACUGCUGCUAAUACCGCAUAUGACCUGAGGGUCAAAGGUCGCAAGACCGCCUGUGGAGGAGCCUGCGUACGAUUAGCUUGUUGGUGGGUAAAGGCCUACCAAGGCGACGAUCGUUAGCUGGUCUGAGAGGAUGAUCAGCCACAUUGGGACUGAGACACGGCCCAAACUCCUACGGGAGGCAGCAGUGGGAAUAUUGGACAAUGGGGGCAACCCUGAUCCAGCAAUGCCGCGUGUGUGAAGAAGGUCUUCGGAUUGUAAAGCACUUUCGACGGGACGAUGAUGACGGUACCCGUAUAAGAAGCCCGGCUAACUUCGCGCCAGCAGCCGC